rnacentral:rRNA from 1 species
CCUACGGGAGGCAGCAGUGGGGAAUUAACAGCAAUGGGCGAAAGCCUGACAGAGCAAUACCGCGUGAGGGAAGAAAGCCCACAGGGUUGUAAACCUCUUUUGUCAAGGAAGAAGUUCUGACGUUACUUGACGAAUAAGCAUCGGCUAACUCCGUGCCAGCAGCCGCGGUAAGACGGAGGAUGCAAGUGUUAUCCGGAAUCACUGGGCGUAAAGCGUUUGUAGGUGGUUUAGUAAGUCUAUUAUUAAAUCUUGAAGCUCAACUUCAAAACUGUAAUAGAAACUACUGAACUUGAGGAUAGUAGGGGUAAAGGGAAUUUCCAGUGGAGCGGUGAAAUGCGAAGAGAUUGGAAGGACCACCGAUGGCGAAGGCACUUUUUUUUGGCUUUUUCUGACACUAAGAGACGAAAGCUAGGGUGGGGAAUGGGAUUAGAUACCCCAGUAGUCCUAGCUGUAAACGAUGGAUACUAGAUGUUGUGUGGAUCGAUCCAUGCAGUAUCGUAGCUAACGCGUUAAGUAUCCCGCCUGGGAACUAUGCUCGCAAGAGUGAAACUCAAAUGAAUUGACGG